rnacentral:rRNA from 1 species
CAAAGAUUAAGCCAUGCAUGUGACGGCU